AACGAACGCUGGCGGCAGGCUUAACACAUGCAAGUCGAACGCCCCGCAAGGGGAGUGGCAGACGGGUGAGUAACGCGUGGGAAUCUACCGUACCCUACGGAAUAACGCAUGGAAACGUGUGCUAAUACCGUAUACGCCCUACGGGGGAAAGAUUUAUCGGGGUAUGAUGAGCCCGCGUUGGAUUAGCUUAAUUGGUGGGG
rnacentral:rRNA from 1 species